AGAGUUUGAUCCUGGCUCAGAGCGAACGCUGGCGGCGUGCUUAACACAUGCAAGUCGAACGAGUGUAGCAAUACAUUCGUGGCGAACGGGUGCGUAACACGUGGAUAACCUUCCUUCAGGUGGGGAAUAACCCAGUGAAAAUUGGGCUAAUACCGCAUAACGAGACGAGGAUGCAUGUUCUUGUCUCCAAAGCCGCAAGGCGCCAGAAGAGGGAUCCGCGGCCGAUUAGCUUGUUGGCGGGGUAACGGCCCACCAAGGCAAAGAUCGGUAGCCGGAUUGAGAGGUUGGCCGGCCACUCUGGAACUGAGACACGGUCCAGACUCCUACGGGAGGCAGCAGUGGGGAAUCUUGCGCAAUGGGCGAAAGCCUGACGCAGCAACGCCGCGUGGGGGAUGAAGCUUCUCGGAGUGUAAACCCCUUUCGACCCGGACGAAUGCCCGCAAGUUGACGGUACGGGUAUAAGAAGCCCCGGCUAACUACGUGCCAGCAGCCGCGGUAAAACGUAGGGGGCCAGCGUUGCUCGGAAUUACUGGGCGUAAAGGGUCCGUAGGCGGUGCGGCAAGUCGGAAGUGAAAUCUCUGGGCUUAACCCAGAGGCUGCUCCCGAAACUGCCGUGCUAGAGGAUGAGAGAGGCAAGUGGAAUUGCGGGUGUAGCGGUGAAAUGCGUAGAUAUCCGCAGGAACAUCCGAGGCGAAAGCGGCUUGCUGGAUCAUUUCUGACGCUGAGGGACGAAAGCUAGGGGAGCAAACAGGAUUAGAUACCCUAGUAGUCC
rnacentral:rRNA from 1 species